rnacentral:rRNA from 1 species
CUCGGAGUUUGAUCCUGGCUCAGGAUGAACGCUAGCGGCAGGCCUAACACAUGCAAGUCGAGGGGUAUAGUUCUUCGGAGCUAGAGACCGGCGCACGGGUGCGUAACGCGUAUGCAAUCUACCUUUUACAGGGGAAUAGCCCAGAGAAAUUUGGAUUAAUGCCCCAUAGUAUAUAUCAUUCGCAUGGUUUAAUUAUUAAAGUUCCAACGGUACAAGAUGAGCAUGCGUCCCAUUAGUUAGUUGGUAAGGUAACGGCUUACCAAGACAAUGAUGGGUAGGGGUCCUGAGAGGGAGAUCCCCCACACUGGUACUGAGACACGGACCAGACUCCUACGGGAGCAGCAGUGAGGAAUAUUGGUCAAUGGGCGCAAGCCUGAACCAGCCCAUGCCCGCGUGCAGGAAGACGGUCCUAU